GACGGAUAAGCCCUGCUGGCCCACACGGGUGGAACCUGAUCGAAGAACAACGCGUUCUCCAGAUUCUCCAUGUCCGACGUUAUGGAGAAGCGUAAUCUGACGUUUUCUGUUGGGGAAGUAGAGAUUUCAGAACGGCAAGAGGGUGGAGACGUUUUGCGUAGAUACACAAGCAUAUUGAGUUGCCGCGAGCGUUACUUGCCUUUGCUGUUGUUCAUACCGAAACGUACGUCUCUCUUUUCUUGCGCGGUUUAUCGGAUCAGCGGACGAUGACAAG